GGGGAUAUGGCUCAGUUGGUAGAGCGGUUGGUUCGCAAUCAUCAGGUCAGGGGUUCAAAUCCCCUUAUCUCCA
rnacentral:tRNA from 1 species